rnacentral:piRNA from 1 species
UGUGUCUCUCCUCCGGCCGGCCCUGGCUUC